rnacentral:rRNA from 1 species
AACCUGGUUGAUCCUGCCAGUAGUCAUAUGCUUGUCCCAAAGAUUAAGCCAUGCAUGUCUAAGUUUAAGCACAUUGUGUGAAACUGCGAAUGGCUCAUUAAAUCAGUUAUAAUUUACUUGAUAGUCAAACUUAUCAUUGGAUAACCGUGGUAAUUCUAGAGCUAAUACAUGCAACAAGCCUGACGAGAGGAGGGCUGUAUUUAUUGGAUACGAAACUGAUGGCAGUGAUGCCUUGGUGAUUCACAAUAACUUUACGGAUCGUAUGGCCUUGAGCUGACGACGUAUCAUUCAAGUUUCUGCCCUAUCAACUUUCGAUGGUAAGAUAGGGGCUUACCAUGGUGAUAACGGGUAACGGGGAAUUGGGGUUCUAUUCCGGAGAGGGAGCCUGAGAAAUGGCUACCACGUCCAAGGAUGGCAGCAGGCGCGCAAAUUACCCAAUGCCGAUACGGCGAGGUAGUGACAGAAAAUAACGAUGCGGGGCCGCGAGGCUUUGCAAUUGGAAUGAGUACAAUUUAAAUCGCUUAACGAGUAACGAUUGGAGGGCAAGUCUGGUGCCAGCAGCCGCGGUAAUUCCAGCUCCAAUAGCGUAUAUUAAAGUUGUUGCAGUUAAAACGCUCGUAGUCUGAGAUUGGUGUUGGAGUGGUUUUGGGGACGUGAGUCUUUGGGGCUGCUUUGCGCUAUUUUUCUUGGCAUUUAGUGUCAAGAGUUACUUUGAGGAAAUUAGGGUGUUCAAAGCAGGCGUUUGCUUGGAUACUGCAGCAUGGAAUAACGGAAUAGGGCUUGCCGUCUUAUUUUGUUGGUUUGGAGGGGCGAGUAAUGAUUAAUAGGGGCGGUUGGGGGCAUUGGUAUUUGGUAGCUAGAGGUGAAAUUCUUGGAUUUACCAAAGACUAACUAGUGCGAAAGCAUUUGCCAAGGAUGUUUUCAUUGAUCAAGAACGAAAGUUAGGGGAUCGAAGACGAUUAGAUACCGUCGUAGUCUUAACCAUAAACGAUGCCGACUGGGGGUCCUUGCGUAACGCAUGUCGUUUGUGGGGGAACCUUUCGAGAAAUCAAAGUUUUUGGGUUCUGGGGGGAGUAUGGUCGCAAGGCUGAAACUUAAAGGAAUUGACGGAAGGGCACCACCAGGAGUGGAGCCUGCGGCUUAAUUUGACUCAACACGGGAAAACUCACCAGGUCCGGACAUGGUAAGGAUUGACAGACUGAGAGAUCUUUCAAGAUUCUAUGGGUGGUGGUGCAUGGCCGUUCUUAGUUGGUGGAGUGAUUUGUCUGCUUAAUUGCGAUAACGAACGAGACCUCUACCAUCUAGUGUUGGCGGGUGGGUCUGAGAGGACUUGCUUGCAUACUAGGGGACAGACUGGGGUUACCAGUAGGAAGUUUGAGGCAAUAACAGGUCUGUGAUGCCCUUAGAUGUUCUGGGCUGCACGCGCGCUACACUGAUGGAUGCAGCGAGUUUGAGCCUGAUUCGGAAGGAUUGGGAAAUCUUGUGCAAGUCCAUCGUGCUGGGGAUAGACCAUUGCAAUUAUUGGUCUUCAACGAGGAAUUCCUAGUAAAUGCGUGUCAUUAUCGCGCGUUGAUUACGUCCCUGCCCCUUGUACACACCGCCC